rnacentral:rRNA from 1 species
CCCGACUGCUAUUUGGGUGAGGAUAAGCCAUGCGAGUUGAAUGGGAAACCUAAAGUUCCCAUGGCAAACUGCUCAGUAACACAUGAUCAACUUACCCUAUAGAGAAAAAUAACCUCGGGAAACUGAGGAUAAUGUUUCAUAGUUGAAUUGGCUUGGAAAAGUUUUUCGAUAAAAGGGGUAAAAAAAAUGGUUUUUAUCUGCUAUAGGAUAGGAUCGUGUUCGAUUAUGGUUGUUGGUGAGGUAAUGGCUCACCAAGCCGAUAAUCGAUAGGGGCCGUGAGAGCGGGAGCCCCGAGAUGGGUACUGAGACAACGACCCAGGCCUUACGAGGCGCAGCAGGCGCGAAACCUCCGCAAUACACGAAAGUGUGACGGGGUUACCCAAAGUGUUCAAUUUUGAACUGUGGUAGGUGAGUAAUGUUCCCUACUAGAAAGGAGAGGGCAAGGCUGGUGCCAGCCGCCGCGGUAAAACCAGCUCUUCAAGUGGUCGGGAUAAUUAUUGGGCUUAAAGUGUCCGUAGCCGGUUUAGUAAGUUCCUGGUAAAAUCGGGUAGCUUAACUAUCUAUAUGCUAGGAAUACUACUAUACUAGAGGGCGGGAGAGGUCUGAGGUACUACAGGGGUAGGGGUGAAAUCUUAUAAUCCUUGUUGGACCACCAGUGGCGAAGGCGUCAGACUGGAACGCGCCUGACGGUGAGGGACGAAAGCCAGGGGAGCGAACCGGAUUAGAUACCCGGGUAGUCCUGGCCGUAAACGAUGCAUACUAGGUGAUGGCACGGCCAUGAGCCGUGUCAGUGCCGUAGGGAAACCGUUAAGUGUGCCGCCUGGGAAGUACGGUCGCAAGGCUAAAACUUAAAGGAAUUGGCGGGGGAGCACCACAAGGGGUGAAGCCUGCGGUUC